GCUAUAAAAGGUAGAGAAAAUCUGUGUGCGUGGCCGCACUUCGAUGGUGAAGACUUAUUCGCUGUUAUUUUCAUUUUUAUUACUUAUGCGUUAUUGUCUAUUAAUAAAGCGAAGCCAUGACAAAUGGUGAUGCGAAAAACUUUAUUAAAAGAAGAGUCUCUGAGUAAUUUAUUUAUGAAUAAUAUAUUAUUCUGAACUGAACAUUCCUACGAGCCUCAAGCAGCCUGAACUCAGCUGAGCAGUUGCGGGGGCCGGGGAGGAUUCCAUGUCUUUUCAUCACAGAUCCGGAUCUCAGAGAAAAAUGAGAUGCUCGCCGUCAUUAGAAAGUCUUCCAGAAGAGUUGGGCGAAGCUCGGAAGACCAUCAGAAAGUUGAAGAAACAACGACAGUGCUGCAGAUGGAUAAAGCGUUGUAUGAAGUCUCCCGUUCGUCUGCCUGGUUUCUCGUCAUCGCUGUUCGUCUGCCUGGUUUCUCGUCAUCGCUGUUCGUCUGCCUGGUUUCUCGUCAUCGCUGUUCGUCUGCCUGGUUUCUCGUCAUCGCUGUUCGUCUGACCCUGGAACCCCGUCCACUCUUCACCACCGGAUGCCACUACUCACCACCACGGACUGCUCAUCUCAGGCCUGUGUCACGCUCUCCUGCUGCCUCACCUCACCGCCACUUACGGGAUCACCGUCAGUCAUCACCGCGACCAUCUGUUGUUCCCCCUGGAUUUAUUUGUAUACCGGACUUUAAUAAACCUAUUUGUUUCACUCUUGCACUUGCUUCCUCACCCUUUGUUACCGUUACAAUAAGCAUAAAUACCGGAGUACCAAAAGGAGGGAAAAAUAGGCCAUUAGUAAAUCUAGACGCUAUUGAUGAUUUAUCCCUCACAAUAGAAUGGAAAAACUGGAAAGAAAACUGGUUUAACAUAAUGGAUUAAUAACUAUUAUUUGGGAUUAAAUUGGAUGAAGGCCAGUAUUUGUAAUAGUAGUGUAGAAAUACUAGGUGAUCAGAUUAAAGGAGG
ensembl:lncRNA